rnacentral:rRNA from 1 species
GAUGAACGCUGGCGGCGUGCCUAAUACAUGCAAGUCGAGCGAACGGACGAGAAGCUUGCUUCUCUGAUGUUAGCGGCGGACGGGUGAGUAACACGUGGAUAACCUACCUAUAAGACUGGGAUAACUUCGGGAAACCGGAGCUAAUACCGGAUAAUAUUUUGAACCGCAUGAUUCAAAAGUGAAAGACGGUCUUGCUGUCACUUAUAGAUGGAUCCGCGCUGCAUUAGCUAGUUGGUAAGGUAACGGCUUACCAAGGCAACGAUGCAUAGCCGACCUGAGAGGGUGAUCGGCCACACUGGAACUGAGACACGGUCCAGACUCCUACGGGAGGCAGCAGUAGGGAAUCUUCCGCAAUGGGCGAAAGCCUGACGGAGCAACGCCGCGUGAGUGAUGAAGGUCUUCGGAUCGUAAAACUCUGUUAUUAGGGAAGAACAUAUGUGUAAGUAACUGUGCACAUCUUGACGGUACCUAAUCAGAAAGCCACGGCUAACUACGUGCCAGCAGCCGCGGUAAUACGUAGGUGGCAAGCGUUAUCCGGAAUUAUUGGGCGUAAAGCGCGCGUAGGCGGUUUUUUAAGUCUGAUGUGAAAGCCCACGGCUCAACCGUGGAGGGUCAUUGGAAACUGGAAAACUUGAGUGCAGAAGAGGAAAGUGGAAUUCCAUGUGUAGCGGUGAAAUGCGCAGAGAUAUGGAGGAACACCAGUGGCGAAGGCGACUUUCUGGUCUGUAACUGACGCUGAUGUGCGAAAGCGUGGGGAUCAAACAGG